rnacentral:rRNA from 1 species
GCCUACGGGGCGCAGCAGUAGGGAAUCUUCCACAAUGGGCGAAAGCCUGAUGGAGCAACGCCGCGUGGGUGAAGAAGGUCUUCGGAUCGUAAAACCCUGUUGUUAGAGAAGAAAGUGCGUGAGAGUAACUGUUCACGUUUCGACGGUAUCUAACCAGAAAGCCACGGCUAACUACGUGCCAGCAGCCGCGGUAAUACGUAGGUAGCAAGCGUUAUCCGGAUUUAUUGGGCGUAAAGGUAACGCAGGCGGUCUUUUAAGUCUGAUGUGAAAGCCUUCGGCUUCACCGGUGUAGAGCAUUGGAAACU